AUAUGAACUGUCAGGCUAUAAUACAGUAUGUUGUAAAUUGAUUCGUAUUUUGUUUGUAAAGUUGAACAUGUAUUUCUCUGUCUGCGAACGAAGCAGGAAUGGUAAUGACGAUGUAAGUUGAAUAUAAUAAUGUAAGUCGAUAAUUUGAUAGGGAACAUCGCAGGUUGAGCGGAUGUUCCGAAAUGGUGUUUAUCAUACGCUGUCAAUUGAGUCUACUAUUUAC
rnacentral:lncRNA from 1 species